AUGACUGGAGUAUUCUUCCACCUUGAAUCUCCAGACAAACUCUUUGAUGCCUUCUGUUUUAAUGCAUCAGAUUUGUCGGAGAAGAACUGUGAUGCGUCAGUCCGCCCUGCAUUAACUGAUUCAGAGAGUUCUCAGGAUACAGAUGCUUCAGAUUACCUUCAAAACAACCGUGUAGCCACAGAGCAGCCUGUGACAGAGGACACAGCAAACAACCAGACAACUCAGACAACUCAGACAAUCAACGUUUUGGAGGACCUGGACCAGGUAGAGCCACAGGCCACAAAGAUAACCCAAGCCAAUCCGAUCACACCAGAUCCUGUCACUCAAAACAACACUUCAGACCAUAUGGAUGAGGGAGCUGAUAGCCCCAUCGAGGUAGCAUCCACAAAAAACAUCUCAAUAACAGACUGGAAUAAGAGGAAUGACUCUGAGUUGGGGGUGCACAGGGAGACAGAUGACACCCCUGGGUCUGGGAUAUUUCCUGGAGAGGCUUUUUCCAUUACACCAUCUGUUGGUGGGUCAGGAGAAAGUCAGGGCUCUGCCAUGGAUGGGAACACAGGGCAUUCCAUUCCCGAGGGUAGGAUGAUUCCAGGUGGGAGAGCAACCCCUCCUCCACCAGAUGGGCGGGGGAAGAGUAGGACACCCCUUUGGCUGAUCAUUUUGGCAGUGGUGGUGGGAGUGUGCACUAUUAUGAUUGUGUGUGCUGCUGUUGCCAAGCGAAGGAGGUAGGUCUCACUUCAACAAUCUAAAUUCUGGUUAAAGAACAAAUGAAUGAAGACUGCAUUUCUCCUUUUCUCUCUCUGAGCUGGUGGUGAUGUUCUAAUGUGUUCAAUGCUCCUUCAUUCUAUUUGGCAGCUGGUGUGGUCAGCAGCAGACUCUGAUGAUCUCCAACAAGGAUGGGAGUGAAGUUAACAGGGGGGCGGCUUCAGUGACUAGUUUCCGCACCCAGGAGAGCGAGCAGGAGAUGGUAACCCUGAUGGAUAAAGAGAAGAUCCAGGAGAAUGGAAACACAGAGGAGUUCACUGUCAUCACACUGGAGGAGUCCCCACAUAAAUAACAGCUAGCAUAAGAGGAGUGGGAGUGGCCUAUAGGGAUUGAGAGAAGAUUAGCUGUUUGGGGUCAUGAUACUGCGGUAAAACUAGAUAAAGGCUGACUGGGAUGGAAAUGGAUACUUAGCCAGGUACCAAGCAGAUAGACGCAUUUAACUUUUCAGCUGGGGUUGGGGAGAGGGCUUUGGAAAUGGAAGGAAUGGCUAAUGAUUUAUUUGAUAAAUAUUUUUGGUUUUAUGGUUUUUUCCAAAUGCUUGUUACUAAGGCACAACAUCAGAUGGGCUAGCUAGACCAAAAUGAAUGAUGCUAAUACCCUUUUGUGUCAGGGUGGGAGGGAGGUUAAUUUGUGACAUAUUUGUGACAUAAUAGCAUAAUAGCCUAACUCAAGCUACUCAACAUUCUCCAAGUGAAAGAAGAACAUAAAGAAACAACUCAUAGAACAUACUUUCCAUGAAAAAACACAAGUUGCAAAAAUGUGGCCCACUUAUGACUUUAGUCUUUAUCUUUUAAUAUAAACCUUGUGUAUAUUUCACUUGUUUCCAGUGGAAUGAGAUGUAUUUAGUUUGGACAAAAAACAAUGUUUUUUUAAUUUAUGCAGUUUGGACUUGUCUUUCUGUUUUUGCUUCUGUAUAUACUGUAUCAUUAUUUUUCCAAAUGCCUUUGUUAUAGUUGUCAAUCUUAUUAUUUGGUGUGCAAAUGCCCUAAUGAACAAAGAAAAGCUGCCAUAUUUGAGAGUUAUUGUAAAAGAACAAUUACAAUAGUCAGUAUGGAUAUUGUAAGAACUUAAUGUAUAGUAUUAAAGACUGUGCAUUUUAAAUACCUUUUAUAUGAUGUCAUUUACCAUGGUCGGUAUAAAUAAUCAAGUAUCUCACAUGAUUCCAUUGGAAUAUGAAAUACAGCUGUUUUAGAGACGUUGGGAAAAUGCCUGAUUAUUUACCAUAUACAGUAAUUCCCAUCAUUGACAAACUUACAGUAACCCAAUGAAAUGCAUUACACUGCAAAGAAUAACAUUCAAUGUCACCUAAUAACAAUGUUGUGCAGUCCCUCACUGAUUUAAUGUUUACUAAUCAUUAAGACAUAGAAAUUAUGAUAAUGAGCAGAACAAUAAAAAUUAAAAUCUGAAUGCUACUCUGAUGGGUUCUGUUGUAAUGUGCAGAGGCCAUCUUUCUUCUGUGGCUGUCCCUGGGAUGUAUUCAUUCAGCCAUUUCGGAUGCAAACAUAAUUAAAUUGGGAGGGACCUACAUUUUCCAAUAGAAACUCUAGGUUUGGCAGAUUUGUUACAUUUUGUUUCAUGGUGAACAGAUUCUGUAAUGAAUACACCCCUGUUAUGUGCACCAGAGGGAGUGAAGGAAAGGGGUUGAUGAAUGUAUGUUUCCCUGGCCAGGAGCUCUGUCCCCAAAUGUCCCCAUAGCUCCUCACUGACAGAAACAUUCAUCUUUAUGCAAACACUUUAUUUAGAAGCACAUUACUUCUAUAUGGGAUUGUGUGGGGCAACUGUGAAUCAUACCAUAUGGUUUAACAGUGCAUUUGUUAGGCAAUUUAAGAAAGGUUUAAGAGAUUUGAAUCACUUCCAUGUUUUCCAAACAUUUUCUGCAGCUUUUUUUGAUUAGGAAUCAUUUUGAGGCACAAAAAGAUUUUAGGGUUUGACUGUUUAAUGAUGUAAUAACAAAAUGUUGUUAAUAAAAAAGGAUUUGUAUAAGUAUGGAUUCAAUAAAUGUGUAUAGAGAAAAUGUUUGAUUUGUGGUGUUCAUUCAGUGAAAUGGAGGUAGAGAAAGGGAGAAAUAGACAGAAUGAAUGAAAAGAAAGGGGUGGUGCGUUGCUCGGUAACUGGAGAAAUUGUGGUUGCCAUGGUAGCCAGGUCAAGAUUCAAGAGUAUGUUUUGAACUAGGCAAGAAAAAGAGACAACAAGACCUAAACCCUUUUUCGCCCGGCCUCUAACAUAUAAUGUUUCUCAUGAUAUUUGUGUAAGCAAUUAAAAAGCUAAUUGCAAUUUCACUGUAAUCUGAUUGUAGUAUAAAUCUUUAGUAUUUUAUCAUUUGUAUUUGUAUUUAAUGUACAGACCUGUAAUAUGCAUUUUAUAUUUUGUUUGUAUAACACAGGUCUUUCAUUUCAUUACUUCAUUACACUUGUAUGGCCCCAUUAUCACCCUGCAUUAGUAUCAGAAGUAUUACGGUAUUGUAUUACGGUAUUCUGGUGCAAACGCACCCUAGCCUGCAUCAGCGUUGCACUGACAGGUGCCGGAGUCUUCCGGAGGCAGCUUGCAGGACCUCUCUGCUCAGCUUUGUGAUGCAGGAAGACUUCCAAGGCAGAUUGUCCUAUAAUUUAGCAUUGGCAUAGCUGGAAAAUAAGUUGGUUGGACAAUAUAUCACUGGAGUCCAUGAUUUUUUAAAUAUCCAGUAUUCUGCUGGGUUUUGUGCCGCUUAAAAAAAAAAGAAAGAAAAACUAUUUCUCUUGCAUUUGUGUCUGCGUUCAGUGCUCCAAUACUAUCAGAUAGCAUCAACAAGGUACAUCUGAGCAAUGCAGCCAGUCAGGUUCGGUCUGUCCUCUCUUUCACCUCGUCUACCAUGUUCAGUAUGUUUUUCUUGUUAAGGUAACAUGAGGAUAUGUGAUGGUACACCUGGUUUUACACAACAGCUGGGAUUUUCUCUCUACAGUUUGGAAACUGUGUAGUCCCUUCAUCACAGUGUUUAACCCAUAAGUACUGUCUGUGUUACGAUGUUGGUUUUUCUUCCGCUGUUUGCACUGUGAUUUUAUGUUUACAUUUUAACAAAGUGCAGGUGCAUCCUGUCAUAUUAUAAAGAAGUGUCUGGAUUAGUUAGCACCAGGUGUGCUUAUCUGUUAUUCACUAUCUAGCUUUGUAUGUUUGGCUUUAAUGCCUGAAAUGCAGAGCAAUAGAGUAUAUUAAAUAUACUGAAUGCAUUUGUCCAUUUUGUGUCAAUUGUAAUCAAUACAAUAAUUACAAAUCAACUUUGUUAGACUGAUGUAUCUUAAUCUGUUGUGUUUUCUGCUGUUUCAAAAAAGGCAAAAGGAAAACUCACUCUAGUGUUCUGUGUCUGCAUUCAAUGCUCUAUUACUAUCAGAUUUGACCAACUGCCAAGUACAAGUAUAGAUGGAAAUCUGAACAUUGCAGCUAGGUUUAUCAGCCAGCCAGGUUCUGUUGGUCCUCUCUUACACCUCCUCAACCAUGAUCAGUAUGUUUUCCUUUUAAGGGUUGUUUAUCACAAUGUAUCUAUGUUUCUAUAGUCAUUUUAAUCAAUGCAAUAGUUUUGAUUCACCUUUGUUAGGCUGGAAUUAUGUCCACCCAUCUAUGUCUGUCUGUAUGGGCAUCUAUCACUCACUUUGAGGACAUGUGGGGGAAAGGGCAAUAAUUAUUACUGAGGUAUAAUUGGAGAAGCACCAUAGGGACGGGCUUCCAAUACAUGUACAAGUUUCCCUGCUCAGGCCGGCGGUAAGGGGUCCUCUUGAUGCAACAGGUGGAGGCGCAGACCCCCGCUCCUUUGGAUGUCGACGGUGAGGCUGCUUAUGCUGUGCGUGACCUGCUGGACUCCCGGAGGCGUGCGGGGCGCCUGCAGUAUCUCGUCGAUUGGGAGGGUUUCGGGCCGGAGGAGAGGAGUUGGGUGCCCGCCUGUGACGUCUUGGAUCCUUCCCUGUGCCACGACUUUCACCGUCGCCGCCCCGACCAUCCUGGCCCUCGCCGGGGUGGUCAUCCUCGCGCUCUGCCCUCCUCCGCUCCUUGGAGAGGGGGAGAUGUAACGACCACCCCUGCUACCUGCUCUGUCUACUCCCUGGAGUACUAGUAAUGUUUCGUUAUUCUUGAUCUUAUUACAUUCAGUCCUGUCCUGUGUUAUGGUCAAGCUACAAGUCCUCUGCCAAUCUCUGUGUUAUCAGCACCCAAGCGUGAACAGGUGUUUCCAGUUGCCUCGUUAGUAUGGUAUUUAGCCAGUAUUGUUCAAGGACUGUUUGUGGAUUAUUGUUUCAUGUGCCGUUUCUACGCUUGACAAGUCUUUGUUUUGGAUACAUUUUCAUUAAAUUCUUGUUGAUUGCACUUGCCUCUGCUACUUACCUAAGAAACGUUACAGCUUCUAAGCUAUAUUUUGUGCAAUGAUAUCUGUAUAAAUGCAGUGGGAAUUGCAAGCGAGAAAUAAAAACGAGCAAAACGAUUUUGCUACAAGGCUAAAAUGCAUGUAAAGGUGCCUGUUUGUAAGGACUUUUGACAGUAUUUAUGUAAAUUGUUCGUGUUUUUGAGUUUUAAAAGAAAAACGGCUGGACCUGACCAACCUUGCUAGUUUCC
ensembl:lncRNA